rnacentral:rRNA from 1 species
GUGCCAGCAGCCGCGGUAAUACGUAGGUGGCAAGCGUUGUCCGGAAUUAUUGGGCGUAAAGCGCGCGCAGGCGGUCCUUUAAGUCUGAUGUGAAAGCCCACGGCUCAACCGUGGAGGGUCAUUGGAAACUGGGGGACUUGAGUACAGAAGAGGAAAGCGGAAUUCCACGUGUAGCGGUGAAAUGCGUAGAGAUGUGGAGGAACACCAGUGGCGAAGGCGGCUUUCUGGUCUGUAACUGACGCUGAGGCGCGAAAGCGUGGGGAGCAAACAGGAUUAGAUACCCUGGUGGUCC